rnacentral:tRNA from 1 species
GCCGGCGUAGCUCAGUGGUAGAGCAGCUGAUUUGUAAUCAGCUGGUCGUCCGUUCAAAUCGGACCGUCGGCUC